UAAUACGAAGGGUGCAAGCGUUACUCGGAAUUACUGGGCGUAAAGCGUGCGUAGGUGGUUUGUUAAGUCUGAUGUGAAAGCCCUGGGCCCAACCUGGGAAUGGCACUGGAUACUGGCAAGCUAGAGUGUGGCAGAGGGUAGUGGAAUUCCUGGUGUAGCAGUGAAAUGCGUAGAGAUCAGGAGGAACAUCCGUGGCGAAGGCGACUGCCUGGGCCAACACUGACACUGAGGCACGAAAGCGUGGGAGCAAGCAGGAUUAGAUACCCUGGUAGUCCACGCCCUAAACGAUGCGAACUGGAUGUUGGGUGCAAUUUGGCACGCAGUAUCGAAGCUAACGCGUUAAGUUCGCCGCCUGGGGAGUACGGUCGCAAGACUGAAACUCAAAGGAAUUGACGGGGGCCCGCACAAGCGGUGGAGUAUGUGGUUUAAUUCGAUGCAACGCGAAGAACCUUACCUGGCCUUGACAUGCACGGAACUUUCCAGAGAUGGAUUGGU
rnacentral:rRNA from 1 species